UGUGCAAAUAACACAGUUGCACCAGCGGGAAAUUUUGAAAAUGAGCAGGUUUUUAAUUCCAACUUGUGAUGUGCGCUUUGGACUGAAAUCAAAGCUGGAAAUAGCGAUGCUUCAGGAGAAGCAGAAAUGUCGAGCCCUGGGUGUGAGCAUAAAACUUUCUGCUGCAGCUUCUAAUCAGAUUUACAGAAYGACUCUCCCUUCCUGGGCGCGCUCAUUGGCUUAUUUUAUGGAGACGAAGCCAUUUCCUUCACUUGACUGGCAUACAACUCAUGUAAG
rnacentral:lncRNA from 1 species